GAAGGUAUAGCUCAAUGGUAGAGCAUAUGGUUAGCAUGCACGAGGUACUGGGUUCAAUCUCCUGUACCACCA
rnacentral:tRNA from 1 species